rnacentral:rRNA from 1 species
AGAGUUUGAUCCUGGCUCAGGAUGAACGCUAGCGGCAGGCUUAAUACAUGCAAGUCGAGGGGUAAGGCUCUUUCGGGAGUACACGACCGGCGCACGGGUGCGUAACACGUAUACAACUUACCUCCAACUGGGGAAUAGCCCUGAGAAAUCGGGAUUAAUACCCCAUAAUAGAUUUAAUGACAUCAUUUUAUCUUGAAAGCUCCGGCGGUUGGAGAUGGGUAUGCGGGACAUUAGUUUGUUGGUGAGGUAACGGCUCACCAAGACUACGAUGUCUAGGGGUUCUGAGAGGAUGAUCCCCCACACUGGUACUGAGACACGGACCAGACUCCUACGGGAGGCAGCAGUAGGGAAUAUUGGGCAAUGGACGAAAGUCUGACCCAGCCAUGCCGCGUGAAGGAUGACAGCCCUAGUGGUUGUAAACUUCUUUUAUAUGGGAAGAAACCCCCCGACGUGUUGGGGGCUGACGGUACCAUACGAAUAAGCAUCGGCUAACUCCGUGCCAGCAGCCGCGGUAAUACGGAGGAUGCAAGCGUUAUCCGGAUUUAUUGGGUUUAAAGGGUGCGUAGGCGGAACAAUAAGUCAGGGGUGAAAGCCUACAGCUUAACUGUAGAAUUGCCUUUGAUACUGUUAUUCUUGAGUGUACAUGAAGUGGGCGGAAUGUGUUAUGUAGCGGUGAAAUGCAUAGAUAUGACACAGAACACCAAUUGCGAAGGCAGCUCACUAAACUACUACUGACGCUGAGGCACGAAAGCGUGGGGAGCAAACAGGAUUAGAUACCCUGGUAGUCCACGCCGUAAACUAUGAUUACUCGAUGUGUGCGAUACACAGUACGCGUCUAAGCGAAAGCAUUAAGUAAUCCACCUGGGGAGUACGAUCGCAAGGUUGAAACUCAAAGGAAUUGACGGGGGCCCGCACAAGCGGAGGAGCAUGUGGUUUAAUUCGAUGAUACGCGAGGAACCUUACCUGGGCUUAAAUGCUGAACGCCGAACCGGGAAACUGGUUUUUCUUCGGACGGACAGCAAGGUGCUGCAUGGUUGUCGUCAGCUCGUGCCGUGAGGAGGGUUAAGUCCCAUAACGAGCGCAACCCCUAUUCUUAGUUGCCAUCAGGUAAUGCUGGGGACUCUAAGAAAACUGCCUACGUAAGUAGUGAGGAAGGUGGGGAUGACGUCAAAUCAGCACGGCCCUUACGUCCAGGGCUACACACGUGCUACAAUGGCCGCCACAGAGGGUCGCUACCUGGUGACAGGAUGCUAAUCUCAAAAAGCGGUCUCAGUUCGGAUCGAAGUCUGCAACUCGACUUCGUGAAGCCGGAUUCGCUAGUAAUCGCAUAUCAGCAAUGGUGCGGUGAAUACGUUCCCGGGCCUUGUACACACCGCCGUCAAGCCAUGGAAGUUGGGGGUACCUGAAGUCGAUAACCGCAAGGAGUCGCCUAGGGUAAAACCGAUGACUGGGGCUAAGUCGUAACAAGGUA